UACGUAGGGGGCAAGCGUUAUCCGGAUUUACUGGGUGUAAAGGGAGCGUAGACGGCCAGACAAGUCUGAAGUGAAAAUCCAGCGCUUAACGUUGGAAGUGCUUUGGAAACUGCCGGGCUAGAGUGCAGGAGGGGCAGGCGGAAUUCCUAGUGUAGCGGUGAAAUGCGUAGAUAUUAGGAGGAACACCAGUGGCGAAGGCAGCCUGCUGGACUGCAACUGACGUUGAGGCUCGAAGGUGUGGGGAGCAAACAGG
rnacentral:rRNA from 1 species